AACGAACGCUGGCGGCAUGCCUAACACAUGCAAGUCGAACGGGAUCCUGGUUUCGGCCAGGUGAGAGUGGCGGACGGGUGAGUAACGCGUGGGAACCUGCCCAGUGGUGGGGGAUAACUGCGGGAAACUGCAGCUAAUACCGCAUGAGCCCGAAAGGGGAAAGAUUGAUCGCCAUUGGAGGGGCCCGCGUUCGAUUAGGUAGUUGGUGAGGUAACGGCUCACCAAGCCUUCGANCGAUAGCUGGUCUGAGAGGAUGAUCAGCCACACUGGGACUGAGAUACGGCCCAGACUCCUACGGGAGGCAGCAGUGGGGAAUAUUGGACAAUGGGGGCGAACCCUGAUCCAGCAAUGCCGCGUGAGUGAUGAA
rnacentral:rRNA from 1 species